ACCCGUCCCGUGCGUCCCCGGA
rnacentral:miRNA from 4 species